AACGAACGCUGGCGGCAUGCCUAACACAUGCAAGUCGAACGAGAUCUUCGGGUCUAGUGGCGCACGGGUGCGUAACGCGGGGGAAUUUGCCCUUUGGUUCGGAAUAACAGUUGGAAACGACUGCUAAUACCGGAUGAUGACGAAAGUCCAAAGAUUUAUCGCCAGAGGAUGAGCCCGCGUAGGAUUAGCUAGUUGGUGUGGUAAAGGCGCACCAAGGCGACGCUCCUUAGCGGGUCUGAGAGGAUGAUCAGCCACACUGGGACUGAGACACGGCCCAGACUCCUAUGGGAGGCAGCAGUGGGGAAUAUUGGACAAUGGGCGAAAGCCUGAUCCUGCAAUGCCGCGUGAGUGAUGAAGGCCUUAGGGUUGUAAAGCUCUUUUACCCGGGAUGAUAAUGACAGUACCGGGAGAAUAAGCUCCGGCUAACUCCGUGCCAGCCGCCGCCGUAACAC
rnacentral:rRNA from 1 species